rnacentral:rRNA from 1 species
GAUGAACGCUGGCGGCGUGUCUAAGGCAUGCAAGUCGAGUGGGUUCAGACCCACGGCAAACGGGAGCGUAACACAUUGGUAACCUACCCCUAACUGGAGGAUAACCCGCCGAAAGGCGGAGUAAUACUCCAUUAAUUACGCGGACAUAUGUCCGCGUAAUAAAGAUUUAUCGGUUAGGGAGGGGCCUAUGGUCUAUCAGCUAGUUGGCGGAGUAAAAGCCCACCAAGGCGAUGACGGAUAGCGGGUGUGAGAGCACGACCCGCCUCACUGGGACUGAGAUACUGCCCAGACACCUACGGG